rnacentral:lncRNA from 1 species
UAAGCUGAAGAUAUAUACUGUAUAAAGUGCUUCAUCUACCUAAUUCUCUGAAGUCUUUUUUUUUUCUGUGUUUUAAGACUUUAUCAUUAAAAAAAGAAGAAAUUAGAGAAGGGAGGUGGGGGGGACAGGAGGGUGAAAGAAUCUCUCCAAAAUGUCGGAUCCGGGCGACCCUCCUUCCCUGACUGCCCAGCCACCCUGUCCCUUCUCUGUCCUCGCGGCGAGGCCCUAGCUGCCAUCUUCUGGGGACCAAGGCCCAGGAGCCCAGCUCGGGUCCCAGGCAGAGGUGAAGGCAGAAGCGGGGCUCAGAGCCUGGAGGUAGGCGUUGAGCGGAGAGGCCUUUGGAGGUG